GAUGAACGCUGGCGGGGUGUAUAAUACAGGCAAGUCGAGCGAACGGACGAGAAGCUUGCUUCUCUGAUGUUAGCGGCGGACGGGUGAGUAACACGUGGAUAACCUACCUAUAAGACUGGGAUAACUUCGGGAAACCGGAGCUAAUACCGGAUGAUAUUUUGAACCGCAUGGUUCAAAAGUGAAAGACGGUCUUGCUGUCACUUAUAGAUGGAUCCGCGCUGCAUUAGCUAGUUGGUAAGGUAACGGCUUACCAAGGCAACGAUGCAUAGCCGACCUGAGAGGGUGAUCGGCCACACUGGAACUGAGACACGGUCCAGACUCCUACGGGAGGCAGCAGUAGGGAAUCUUCCGCAAUGGGCGAAAGCCUGACGGAGCAACGCCGCGUGAGUGAUGAAGGUCUUCGGAUCGUAAAACUCUGUUAUUAGGGAAGAACAUAUGUGUAAGUAACUGUGCACAUCUUGACGGUACCUAAUCAGAAAGCCACGGCUAACUACGUG
rnacentral:rRNA from 1 species